CAGUCGACGCUUCUUUUUCACCGGAGCUUGCUCCACCGGAAAAAGAGGAGUGGCGAACGGGUGAGUAACACGUGGGUAACCUGCCCAUCAGAAGGGGAUAACACUUGGAAACAGGUGCUAAUACCGUAUAACAAUCGAAACCGCAUGGUUUUGAUUUGAAAGGCGCUUUCGGGUGUCGCUGAUGGAUGGACCCGCGGUGCAUUAGCUAGUUGGUGAGGUAACGGCUCACCAAGGCCACGAUGCAUAGCCGACCUGAGAGGGUGAUCGGCCACAUUGGGACUGAGACACGGCCCAGACUCCUACGGGAGGCAGCAGUAGGGAAUCUUCGGCAAUGGACGAAAGUCUGACCGGGCAACGCCGCGUGAGUGAAGAAGGUUUUCGGAUCGUAAAACUCUGUUGUUAGAGAAGAACAAGGAUGAGAGUAACUGUUCAUCCCUUGACGGUAUCUAACCAGAAAGCCACGGCUAACUACGUGCCAGCAGCCGCGGUAAUACGUAGGUGGCAAGCGUUGUCCGGAUUUAUUGGGCGUAAAGCGAGCGCAGGCGGUUUCUUAAGUCUGAUGUGAAAGCCCCCGGCUCAACCGGGGAGGGUCACUGGAAACUGGGAGACUUGAGUGCAGAAGAGGAGAGUGGAAUUCCAUGUGUAGCGGUGAAAUGCGUAGAUAUAUGGAGGAACACCAGUGGCGAAGGCGGCUCUCUGGUCUGUAACUGACGCUGAGGCUCGAAAGCGUGGGGAGCAACAGGAUUAGAUACCCUGGUAGUCACGCC
rnacentral:rRNA from 1 species